UCCCAGACUCCUACGGGAGGCAGCAGUGGGGGAUAUUGCACAAUGGGGGGAACCCUGAUGCAGCGACGCCGCGUGGGUGAAGGAGCGUUUCGGCGCGUAAAGCCCUAUCGUCAGGGAAGAAGCAAGACGGUACCUGACUAAGAAGCCCCGGCUAACUACGUGCCAGCAGCCGCGGUAAUACGUAGGGGGCAAGCGUUAUCCGGAUUUACUGGGUGUAAAGGGAGCGUAGACGGCAGAGCAAGUCUGAAGUGAAGGCCCGCGGCCCAACUGCGGGACUGCUUUGGAAACUGCCCGGCUAGAGUGCAGGAGGGGCAGGCGGAAUUCCUGGUGUAGCGGUGAAAUGCGUAGAUAUCAGGAGGAACACCGGUGGCGAAGGCGGCCUGCUGGACUGCGACUGACGUUGAGGCCCGAAAGCGUGGGGAGCAAACAGGAUUAGAUACCCGGGUA
rnacentral:rRNA from 1 species